rnacentral:piRNA from 1 species
UCCAAGUAUAUACAGUAAGUGGAGCAGGGGC